AAGAGGGGAAGAAUGAACGACCUUGCUGGCGAUUUACAGAAUCUUUUAACACAAACUGGAGGUUUGAGGCCAAAUGUCUCUUCCCAAUCCCUCAUACUGGUUUCAUGUAGGUAAAGAAGAUUCUUAUUCUUUACCUGGGUUGGGAUUACUGAGUUCAAAAGAUUAGUGUGCUUGCCGUGUGUCUGAUCUCUGGAACUGCUGGGGCACCUAGCAAAGCUGUAAGGGGAAAUGAAAAUAAGAAACACUAGAAAUGUUGAUUAUUAGACCCAGAAAGAUCAGAUACAGAUAUGAACUGAAUGCUAAAACUCUGGCAUAGAGCAUACAUGGCAUGAAUCAUCUCAAUUAAAGGGAGGAUAUUACUUAGCCAGAUGAAAAAAUUAUGCCCUGACAUUAAAAGCUACUAGUUUGUUUUACUUUUUUCUGGCACUUUAUUAUUUCUGAAGCUUUAAAGAACUCCAGCCUCAUAACUCCCAUGAUGAGUGUUCUAAUUAUGAACAUUAAGAAUGUCUUCUGAUUGUUUUGAAUUAGCUAAUAACUUGAUAUGCUAAAUAAAUCAGGCAGUUCCCAGUCCAAAUGUAGCGUCUGGCUUUGGAAAUACAGUGUGCUCCCUUCUCUGCUGUGUGAAAUGGGUCUGAACAGCUGGAACAAAUGUUCUUGUCACUAAAUUAUAAAUUACAGCUGUCGAGAAUAAAACAUUUAGUUCCAGCACUCAAGAAAUAGAUUUUUAAGAAGUCUUCCCAUUUAUCAGUUUAGCCAUUGAUUAUGUGUGUAAGGUCAUUGAAUCAGAGCAGUAAUGAAUGGAAUUCUUGAUUGCUCAAAUACCAGACUAAAUGUACCCAUAGUUUUACAUCCAGGAACUUGAUAAUACUUAAGAAUGCCUUAGAGCAUUUCAGGAACUAAUGCUGUAUGUAAGCACUUAUGCACUGCCUUUCUGAUCAGCAGUAACAUGUUUGCUGAGCGGGGGAGGAAGAUAAAUUUGCUUCCAUGAGCUCCCUACUUGUCAGGUUUUCAGUCUGUCAAGUGCUGCAUAGUGGCAGAUUAAUUUCCCAAAGGUUGAGAUUGCCUUGAUGGCUGUGGAGUGGCAGGAGAUCAGGAUUAGGGUCCUGAUCUAGCAAUAACCAUUUGACUGACAGCCUUCUUUUCCUUAGUGCAAGAGGCAGGAGGUGGAAGAUUGCCAUACCUGUUCCAAAAUAGAUAUAAUCUACCAUCACAGCCUGCCAUUGUUCCUCAGGCCUGUCUGGAGGUGAAACCUGAAAUUAGCAUGUAGAUUUGACCUAGAUUUGGGGGUUUUUUUGUGGUUUUGUUUUGGUUUGGUUUUUUGGGUUUUUUUGGGGGGUUUUUGGUUGGUUGGUUGGUUUUUUUUAUAUUGGUCCUGCUACCUGGUAUUUGAAUAGUUUCAUUUUCCACACAUGCUGAUAGCUUCAGUCUUUGCCAGCGUAGAGGGGGCUUCAACUUUUCAAGUUUUAUACCCUUGUUUUCACAAAUCUCUUCUAAUUAUAGUUGUUUUGAGCAGAAGGUUAAGGAGUAUCUGCAGGGUGCUUGUGACACUGCUGUGCUUGCACACUGUUCCCGUGCUCAAGAUUUCUGUUUGUGAAAUCAUCAACUCAGCAUCCUUUAGGUGCCAUUUCAAUGGAAAUAGCUAAGAUAUGCAAGUAAGUGUUACAGAUCCUUUUGAAGUGAUGUGCAGUUGGGAGGAAUAAGGGAGGAAGAAAAUACGUUCUUGUGCUUGCAGGAAUACCUGAAGAUCAUUUUUCUUAAAGAUGCAUGGUGAGGUUGGCAGCUACUAGUUCUGACACCUUUUAUGGUGCUCCCUCCAAAGCUCAAGUUUUCUUUCUGGAUAUUUCAUGGAAGUCUGCAUUGGGAAGUUUUUUCCGGUCUGAACACUUACAGACUUGCUUUCUCUGCCCAUCAGUCUUGAUAAAACUCUCAGGAACCAAGUUAUCUUUGAUUCUUCUGGUGCUAUUCGAGUAAGUCGUGAAAAUCCGAGGGCAGACUCCAGAGGGAAAGGGGGCACAGUCUUUGCAUAAGUUUCUUCAAACAGAAAACCAAAGCUAAAUAACAGCUGUAAAGAUCUUAUCCAUAGUCUAAAGGUGGCUGUUGUCCCCUUUCCAAAUGCCCUUCCCCAGCCUGGUAAUUGUCCAUAACUGCAGAAUUUGCAUUGGCAAGGGAAAAACUUCUUCUAAAAAAGAGGUGUAAAAAAAACCCAUCAGCACAAACAACUAACAGCCAGUGAUUACAGCUCGAGUAAGAGGUAGAAGCAGGCGUGUUUCAGCUGAACAGGGGCUGGUGAGGAACAGAGGAAGCACUUAUGCAUCAGGUGUAAGUUGGUAAGCCAGCAAUCUAUUAAAUAAAUUAAUCCUCUUUCUGCUUUAGGAAUAUCAAUGAGCUUUGUGGUUCCCUUUGCCUUCUCUUCAAUGUAUUCAGUAAAUACCUUUCUGUAGGCUGCUGGCAAACUCUGUUCAGUGCUGUAGUGGGGAAUCCAGAAGUUGUGUGGUUGUGUUUCUUUCUGCCCCUAUUGGAAAAGCACACAAAUAUUCUCUGCAUGGAUUAGUUUCACUUGGAAAUUCACUUUGGAAAAAAAAGUGUCUGGGGUAAACCAGGUCAUUCAAAUUGCAGAAAAAGGGAAAAGUAUGUUGACCAAAUGGGCAAAAUCAAUUUGUUAGGAAAUCAAGUCUGGACAGAGCAUCUCUGUCCAGAUGGUAUCUCAGCUCAGUCAUUCAGCUUGAAUAACAGAGUAUUUUUGUUUCCCUGGUACCAACCACGAGUGCUUUGCUGUUGGGAACAGAAAGUAUGUUUUGGAACUAGAGCGAUUGCAAAGUUCGUAUAGCUUGCAAAUUAAAGACUAGAUCUUGUCCCUGGUAGGCAUCUAUUUUUCCUGGAUUUACUAAAUAUUCCAUUACUCUACUUCUUGCUCUGGUCAGUCCAAGCUUAUAGUUGCUUUGGUUGUUAUGGGGUUAGAUGCAGCAUUUACAACACUCUGGAAUUAUCUCAAAGGCCUUUAUAGAAAAUAUUUCUUUGCAAUAAAAUUAUCCCUACAUGAGCUAGAGGAUCUUGUAUUCCAAUUUCCUAUUGUGCAACAUCAUGUGUAAAAUUCACAUUUUGAGCUCACCUCAUUGGCUGAUGUGCAUAGAUGUAUCUAUAUCUAUAUCUAUAUAUAUAUUUACACACACGUAUACAUGGGCAUGUCUCCAGUACAGAUGCAGUUUUAUUCUGUGGUCUGCAAACAGUAUCUCUUGGCCAACAAUAGAAGAGAAAAAGAACCCAGCAAGGUGGGCAGUGCUCAAUAGCUCCAGUAAGCCCUAUGCCCCAUAUGGUCUCUUAGGGUUCAAGAACCACAAGACAAAAAGAUGGAUUUUUAAUGCACUUAGGCCAAAUGUCACUAUAUAUUUAUUUUAUUUGCUAUUUGUGGUAGAAAUGGGAAAAGAUGCUUAUUAGAUUUAAAAUAAUUUUAGUUUCUAUACUCUUUUAGGUUUUAAACUUGUUCAAAUACAUGUUUGUAGAAGUAUGUGAUACCCUGCAUCAGCUUCAGGCCUCCUUUAUGGCUGUCAGUAACUAUAUAAUGGAAUCCAUGGGGAUGGCUGUCACAAACAGUUACAUGUUAAGUACAGACCUAUCCAUCUUUUAAGCCAUAAUGCCAUUUAUUUUUGUGUAAUAUGCUUCGUGUACUGAUUAGACUCCUGUACCCUCCUUAGAAGGGAAACUAUCCUAUGUCUAUAAAGCAGAAGAGUGGUGGGGGUUUUUUGCAGGUAUUGCUUUUUUAACAUACUAAGAAUUUCACAUUUUUCAUCCUCGUAGUUUCUUUUGAAGUUGAAGAAUAAAUUAUUUCCUUUCUGCUUUGAACUAAAGGAAAGUAAUUAAGUAGUGCUGAACUGAACAAACAACCAUUACUUUUAGGUACCACAGACUUAUUUCCCUAUAAUUUUUUAUAGGUCAGUCAAGCUGUAAAUUACCCAGGAAAGCCCUCAGGUAGACCUUUUGCUAAUUGUCUGACAGGGCUGCCUGCUUUUAAACCAAAGACUAGCAGCUGAAGAUCUGUGCUGUAGUGAAGAAGGGAAAGUUAAAAGAGAUUAAAACAGUAUGAAAAGAACUGUUUAUUUCAUAGCUGCUCUGAAUAUGGUCCCACCCUGCAGGCAGAUUGUGGUAAAGGCUGAAAGUGUGAAGAGAAGAUUAAAAUAACUAAAUGGUGAAAUGGCAGAAUAUGCUGAGUGUGUGGGGAACAGGAGAUGGGUGUCUGCCUGUGAAUUUUUGAGUGAUUUUUUCCUCUGUGCAAGUCACUCUAGGUUCAAGUUGUUUGGCCAUGGUCAUAGAGAAACAAUAUGUAGUGUGGGCAUUUGCACUGUUACCUCACACUUUCCUUUUUUUUGUCUGUCCAUCUUUACAGUCUGUGACUUGGAAGACCUAAAGCACAUCUUAUAGCAACAUUAAGAGCUGGGAAUACUGUGUGCACUGCAUGCAACUCCAAUUCAUUUUGGUUUUUGUUGUGAAGAGGCAUUAUCAGCUAUUAUGCCCACAGUGUGUUCUCAUCCAUUAAUCAUUCAUAUGUCCUCUUCUGCAGACUUAUCCUUGGAAGGUAUCAAUUUUACUGGAAUAUAACCUGGAAGACUUUCUUUUAAGAAUUAGAAAUGUUGGUUUUGCAGGUUCUUUAAACUCUCUUCUUUAGUUACACUGUGUUGCAACUGUGAUACCUGAAGGUAAAAUACACCAGUGCCUUUAAAAGGGAAAAACUGGCAGCUGAAAAAACAGGAGAAUUUUCCUGCACCAGAUUCCUGUCUGUUCAAGCAUCAUGAAAAGGAGCUAUUUAAAUGUUAAUUGGCUGAGUAAUGUAACUUCACAAGUGUGAGUUUCAGUGUGUUACCCUGUGCAGUGUCCUGAGAUGACAACUGUGUGGCUGAAAGGCCUGAAAAACGUUCAGUUCUGCACAUGUUGCUCACAAACACUUGAAGAAGUGAAUCGAGACUCAGUGCCUUACCUUCCCAUCACAAGUGUGGUGGGUCCAUUGCAGUAGGUUUGCAGUAUGAGGUGUGUCACACACAAUAGGAUGGUGGAUACACAUCCCAGUUCAAAGCUGGAGACUCAGUCAGAGCUGUCUCCUGUAUGUAAAUCCUUGCCCUGACAUCACUGCCCCACGUCCAUGGAGCAAAGGCAGGAAAAACAUGAGUACAUGGGAAUUAAUUUUCAUGCCUCUGGCGUUAUGGGGGCCUUUUUGUUGUUUUGGUUUGACUUUUUUUUUAUUCCAUGCUUGUUUGACACUGUUUUAAGACACUGUUUUAAGCUCUCAACUGUUCAUUUUAUGUGUGUUUCCCUCUCUGGGUCUACCUUUGCAAGGUGCUGAGGGCUGACCUUGGAACAACAAUGUGAGCAGUGGACCAGCUGUACUGCUCUAAACCUGUGUGUGUGUAUUGAGUAAAUGUAUGUAAACCCUCAGUCAGUUGAUAUUUGGUGGGCCUUCUAAUCCACUGGCACAGGGAUCUGUUCCAUCCUGCUAGAUAUGUUAGCUUUAGCUUUCAAAUGAGCAGGUCUGAUCUUUAGCAGCAGACUUUGUACUCGUGUUUCAACACAAAUUUGAAGACUUUUUUUAUUUCUUAUGGGAAUAGUAUUGACUGUUAACUCUGUUUCCUUGCAGUGAUGGUUCCUGUUUGGUAGGAUGACUGGUUUUUUCUGGUUAUAGAUACACAUCCUAAGACUUUUUCUGAUAUUUGCACUUGAGAAGCUCUGCCAGGACAAAAUGAUAAUAAAAGUGAAGCAGUUUGCAUGUCCAGCCUCAGUUCUCUGCACUCUUGGUGCCCUCCUGCCAUUCAUGCUCCUGCUGAGGUCAGUGUCCCUGUGUCUUCAAAUCUCCAGGUUUUCGUCUUGGCUUCUGGCUUUGACAGGCAGAUCCUAUGGGAGAUUGCUGUGUUCAUCCCAACAAAUGCAGUGUGGUAGCUCCCACCAUGGGCAGCUGGCAGCCAGGUCUGAGCACCCUGUGCACUCCAAAAUUUGGUACGGGUUGGUGACAGUGGUUAUACAUUCUGUGAAGUGAGUCUUCCUGAGCUUUGCUGGUCGUCUCUGCAAGUGGCAACUGGGUCUUUUUUCUUCUGCUCGUGAACCUUUAGCAGUGUUGCUCAUCACUGAUUGAUGGAUGAGGCUCUGAAACUGCUAUAAUUAAGAUAGUGUUCACACUGCCAUAAUUACAAGAUACAGCAAUUUUAUUAGCCAGGAUUAUUUAUUAGUCACAGCAAUCAAAGCUGCAUUUUGAUUAGUCACAGGAGGACCUGACAGAACAUGGAUGUUAACAUUAUGUAUCCAAUGUGUUCAUUUGCAAGCUUGUCAUAUUUUGUCAUGGUGGCAAUAAAUGGUGUUAAACUGCUUUUUCAA